UUUCCUUCAAUUUGACGUCACGAUAUUCGUCGACGCAGUUUGACAGUUCUCUUCAGUUGGUCUUGUUUGGACUUGAUCAAAUCAGAGAAACUUUGUACCGAAUCGAACCAGUUUACGUUGCCGAAAGUUAGUGUGGAUUUUGGCCGGUUGAUUGAUUUCCUGAUUUCGGCCUUCGUGAUGGAGGAGGAGGAGGAGGAGGAGGAGAACGGGUCACAUCGUUGCUCCGGCGGGCCAUGCCGGAAGACGGGAAGGGAAGCACCCGGUCUGCGAUCGAGGAAGCGGAUUGAUGUUUAACUUUCCGCGGGAGGUGGCGGUGCGUGCCAUACCCAAGGAGGAGGACAAUGAAACGGCAAGUAAUGGAUGUUUCCCCCAAUGGAACAGAAAGAGGGAGAAAGACCAUUCCCCUUCCCGUCAAGUCUUGGGGAGGUGUACAAUGUUCCGUGUGAAAAGAAAGGUGGAGGAAGACGGCGUUUCUGAUCCGCCGGAGGUUUUUAUACGAUUUUAACGAUUCGAGCAUAUCAUAAUUGUUCAAAAACUUUAAAGUUCAAUGCUUGACGAGAUGAACUGAAAGGCCAACUGGAAGACAACGCCAAAAACCACGUGAAGAUCGCGACACACAACAAGUAAAAUUAAUGAAUUUUUGUGAAAUCGAGUGAAAAAGAUUAAUUUACA